GAUGAAGAACGUAGCGAAAUGCGAUAAGUAAUGUGAAUUGCAGAAUUCAGUGAAUCAUCGAAUCUUUGAACGCACAUUGCGCCCAUUAGCAUUCUAGUGGGCAUGCCUGUUCGAGCGUCAUUUCAACCCUUAAGCCCUGUUGCUUAGCGUUGGGAGCCUACAGUACUGUAGCUCCCCAAAGUUAGUGGCGGAGUCGGUUUCACACUCUAGACGUAGUAAUUUUUUCUCGUCUGUAGUUGAGCCGGUCCCCUGCCGUAAAACACCCAAUUUAUCAAGGUUGACCUCGGAUCAGGUAGGAAUACCCGCUGAACGUAAGCAUAUCAAUAAGCGGAGGA
rnacentral:misc_RNA from 1 species